CAGUCAUACUGGAUUAGGACCACCCUAGAGACCUCAUUUUAAAUUAAUCACCUCUGUAAAGUUUCUAUCUUUAGUUAUAGUCACAUUCUGGGAUCCCAGGGAUUAGGACUUCACCACAAAUUUUUGUUUUGGGGGAACAUAAUUCAUCCCAUAACAGGGAAAUAUCAGUGAGCUUGAAGGUGAGGCCCAUGGAUACCUUUAGAAGCAUUUCAGACAUAAGCAAAGAUUACGGGGUAAGAGCAUGCCUGGUGGGUUUGAGAAACAGCAAGGAGAUCAGAGCAGAGUGAAGUGAGUGAGGUGGAGACAGUCGAAGGUAGGGUCCAGGAGGUCCCAGGCAGCGAUUGUGCCUGACCUCGUGGAGGCAGGCGGGAGCCACAGAAGGGCUCUGAGCAGAGGAGGGGUGUGCCCCACACCAUGCUUUAACAGAGCCCCUCUGGCUGCCGUUGGGAGGGGGAACUGAAUGGGGAGUGCUGUUGUGAUGAGCACUGCUCGUGUGUGUUUUCAGUUCUGCAGCAAAACACUGCUCUUCGCCAGCCCCAUGAGAGCCAGGCAUGGCACAGGACUGCUUUGGUUGAUGGAGCGGGAGCAGAGUGCUGUCAUGGCUUCCGGGGAAUGCUUACAAGCAUACUCCAGGCCAUGCUCUCUCUUUCCUCUGCCAUGGUGACUGUCAGUGUGGCAGAGUCAAGUCCUAGACUGGCUGCUCCCAAAACCUGGGUCCUGGAUCAUAGUCAGAGGGACAUGUAGCAGGAAAAAGAAACAAACCCGUGUGGUGUACCGCUGGGAUGUGAGGAUUGUGUGUUACCGCAGCACACCCUAGCCUGCCCUUACUAGCAGAGAAAGGAGACACACUGGGGUUACAGUGAUGGAGACACUGAUUUAUCCAUGUGGGCGGUGAUGGGGCUCCGGGCGCGGUGCUUGUAGUGGGAAUGGUAAAGACAUGAUUGGUCUCUGCACAUACUUUGAAGGUGGAGCCAAUAGGAUUUGCUACAGAUUGAACGUGGAUGAGUCCAAGAUCUGUGUCCUGAGCAGCGGGGAAAAAUGGAGGAGCUGUCAGCUACAGUAGCACCACCAAGGAGAGCCAGACUUGGAGAGGGCAGCAGGCCCUGCAGAGCUGGAGAGGUCCAUUUAACUCAGUCCCUGGGGAGGUACUGAGGGGGCGGAAGGUUAUGUGCUGAAACCACAAGCUGCCAGAGCCGACAGGGCACACCCCUGCUUUGUCUGUGGGGGCCUGGGAUUCCUUCCCACCUCUGAACACCAGGCUUCUAAGGAACAGGAGUUGGUGUAAGCCACUGGAAAAUCUUGGGUUUACGUGAGAGAAAAUGAACUCAAACUGCUUUCCGCUGUAAAAAAAAAAGAAUGUAUUGGGUCCUGUAACUGGGGGGGAAAAAUCCAAGGAUAGUUUGGAUUUCAAGUACAGCUGGCUUCAGGUGGUUAACGAAAUGUCACUUGGCGUCUGGCUCUCCCUCUCUCAGUUCUUCUCUCCUAGGUAAUGGCUGUGCCUAAAGAUCUCCCCUGAGAAGGCAAACCUAGCACCUGCAGCUUUGGGAACAUCCCACCUUUGUGCAACCCACAGGGAAAUUACUGGCCCUCUCCCUGAGAGCUCACCCAGGGCCUCUGCCAGUGCCUAUAACACCUGGGUGCAAACUAGAAAAAAAAAUAGGUAGAUGCAAUUCUACACCAGGCAAGGGGCUUGAGCAGAAUAAAACCUGGACUCUGUCUCCCACGCACCUCACUUUAGUGCACUUGACCAAUGCACAACAUGGAUAAGUCUUUGUAGUGUCUCUAGACCCAGAAAAUGACCUGGGGAGGCUCUCAUUGGCCAGGCUUAGGUCAAAUGCCCAUCCCUGAACCAAUCAAUGUGACUUAGAGGAGUGGUAUAUUGACUGGAUAGACCUGAGUCUCAGGACCCCUUGAAACUGGGAGUGAAGUUUGUCAUUAAAUCACAGUGGUCCAAAAGAGGGACUGAUUCCUGGGAGGAAAAUGGGGGUGCUGCAAAUGAGCAGAAGUCAGAAAAUGGGGUACAAGGUGCUGGGAGGUCCAAUGGAGCAGAACCAAUGGAAGUCCCCUAGUCUUUGAGAUGGGGCCGGAGUUCUGGGCAGAGUUGUUGCAGCAGCUCUGCCUUCCCGAGGAGUGGGGUGGCAAAGGAGCAGGAAAAGCUCAGAGAAUGUUUGUUGACUGAAGCAGAGAGAGUCAGCGCUUGCAGGAGCUGCCUGGAGCCCAGGCAAGCAAUCUAUGACUCCCGCACCUGAGCCCCCUAGUUCCCUACCUCAAUCCUCACCCUAUCUCUUCCCACUACUGACUCUGGUUUCCUGUAUAAUUGCUUUUUUCUGGCCGGAUUCAGUGGGUCCCUCCUUCCAGCAUCCCAGGCCCUCGCUUCCCAUAUGCCCACACCCCACCUCUGCCCAGCCUUAGCCACAUGUAGGUGGUUGAGCUGGGAGAAAAGCAGACAGAGGGAGAGCCUGUCUCCUAGGUCCUGAGAGCUGUGCUGGGUCAGGGCCCCCAGAAUAGGUCCACAGGGACCAGAAGGCCAUGGGGAAGGGUGGCUCUGGGACAGGAGGGCCUUUUUCCCUGUCACGGCUGUUCCAAGUGGGCUGGCUGCCUGGGAGGGAAUGUGGGGGUGUGGAAAGGUGCUGUAGAUAUGAUCUGGAGAAGUCAGAGCUUGAUCUUUCUGCUGUGCAUCACCUAGGGCUCAUUGGGUCUCUGGGAGGCUUGGGAAUCUGCAUUUAAGCCAGUGCCUCAGGGAAUUCCCAUGGGAAACAGUGGCCCUUGAGCAUCUGAAUGUUUGCCCAACUCAGGUUCCUGGCACAGGAAACUGUGCCCCAAACAAGGUUCAGUCAAAGUUACCCAAGAGCUCUUGGCCCUCCCCUUAAGGUGGGGCUCCCGGAGUUACUUACACUGGGAAAGGAAGGUGGGUCUGCUCACCUGCCCCGGGCCCCUGUGCCUGGCCUGGCUGUGCCGUGCCUGGCUGUGCUCUGCGCUGCUGUCUGCCGUCAAGGCACUGGGCUUUGUGCUCAGGCAGCUGUUGGCAGCCAGAUGUGAACACUGGGUCUCAGAGGGCUGAUGUCAUUUGCCCAGGGCCUCACAGCUACUCAGUGGUGAAGCCAGGAUUUGAACCCACAUCUGCCAACCUCAAAGCCUCUGUGGCUGCAACCAAAGGAAACAUGUGGCAUUCGUUAGGCUCUCAUCUGGCCCAUAGUGGCUUGUUUUUGUGUCCUUUUAUAACAAACAAUGAAAAAAAACCCCAAUCACUGACAUUUAUGGAGUGUCAGUUGCUGAGAGCCAGGCCCUUCCAUGGUGACAUCAUGUAAUCCCCUCAAUUGCCCUCAAAGGCCUGACCAUUUUCAUCCCUGUUUGUGGAGGAAACUAGACAAAGUGAGAGGGUAGACCUUUGUUUUCUUUUCUUUGCCAGCUGAUCAUUCUUCUCCCCUUUUUAUGGAACGACACCCCAAUUUCCCUUUGGGGAACCUCCCCCCUCAGUGUUGUCAGUCUGGCCAAGACUCCUCUGACUAAGGCGUAGGCACAGGACCGAGGCUUGGGCGCUCUCUCCCGGGACUCUGAUGUUUGAGUCCUGAGGCACAUCUUCAGCUUGAAGACUCUGCCUGCUGGACUUGCUCCAGGCCCCUCCUCUGAGUACUGCUGAUUCUGAGACUCUAAGAGUGACCGCCCAUCCUUCCAAUAAAUAAGGCCCCAUGUCUUUGGGUGCAGUUAGCUGAGCCCACUUCUGUUGCCAGCAAGCUAGAGUUCUAGCCAUCCAAGGGAGUUCCUAAAAUUCACACAGAGGCUGUGGAACUCAAACCCAGACGGCCUGAUGCCAGAGUCCAGCUUAGCCGCUGCCUGGGGCCUGUGGACAUUACCCAAAGUGGUUGUAAAAUUUGCAUUCUCUCCCAUGAUACAGCCGCACUGUCUUUGUAAACAGGUAAUAUCUUAAACUACUCAAAAGUUGAUUUUCAUUGUCCUCAAUCUUUGGGGCUUCGCCAGCUCCAUAGACCAGACCCUGGUACCCCAAGGGGUGUAUAUACACCCAGUUUGAGAAAGGUAUUUGGCUCCUUGCCACAACCCCAGGCCUCUGCUCAGAAAUCCCCUCCCCACACCCCGCUCACUGCUCUGGGGUUGCUGGCAGGGCCUGGGCCCUGGUCCCCUCUUCAGGGACUGGGUAGAUGGGGGUCUAGCAUGACAGUGCUUUUUAGGACCCAGUAGAUCGACUUGCCUAAGUCCUCCCCAGCUUUGGGUGUUUUCACCCAACCCUACAUUUCUGUCACAUCCACAUUCUUCCUGUGCGAUCAUUUCCUUAACAUUUUGUGUUAAAUUGCCACAUGCCCAUUCUUUUCUUGAAAAGACUUCAUUCAUACCACUGCCGGAAAGGGCACUGUGCAUAAAUAGAAUACAGCAAUGCCCAGAAAACCACAUACGUCACAGUCCAACCAGACAUUGCCAUCUGCCCUGAGCAUCAGGUCAGCCGGGUCUCUGCCAGGGAGUUCCACGGGGGCUAAUUAGGUGUUGAAGAUACCUGGCCCCAUGCUGAUCACUUCCUCUGUGAGCAUGUUAAUGUUAUUUCAGGCCAGGUUGUGUGCACGUGCUUCACAUUUUGGGAAACACUGGUCCUCACUGUACAGUUGAAAACAGAGAGGGAAAGGGUCUUGCCCACAGCCACACAGCACACCAAGGAAGAGAGACUGGAACAAAGGUUAUCCCACCCACAUUCCAGCUCUCUCUGCAGCACUUAAAGCACUUCAGAUGCUCCCAGGCAACUCCUGAUCAUCUGGAACCACAUUUUUAAUCCCCAGCAGCCACUCCCCCUCCAUCUGUUAGGUCUGGGCCCUCCUCCUCACCCCCCACUGCACCCGAAGUGCCAGUUGGUGUGGGCUGUGCAAAUGCAAACUCAUUUAAAUGUCAGCUGGAGCAACACCCAGCUAGAAAGGCAAACAGGUGACAAAAAUAGAUGUGACAAUCACAGUAUCCUAGACUGUCAGCAGGCGCUUCCAGUCCCUCUUAACCGUUCCUGGGGGUAAGCAGCCCUGGAAGAAUCAAAAUAACUGUAGACUUCUGCCCAAGGAAAACUCACACACGCAAAUAAUUUUGCAUGUCAUUUUGGAGGGGCCACAGAGCCAUCCCACCUCAACAUCUCCAGUUUUUUAAACCCGUCUCCUGGACUGGGGUCCUGAGAAAGAGUUUGUUUGCAGAAAGCAACUUGAUGCUAAGAAUUUGCAAACAACUGGUCUUGGUGCUUUUCCCCAGCAGCUUUGAGGUAACGAGCGCUGAAGAACAGCACAAGUCCACCCCAGAAGCGGUGGUGCAAGGUCCACCAUUCACAAACAGAAACCUCACCCCUGGCUUAUCUCUUUGGGAUGGUGAGCCUUGGGGUUUAUCUGAAAGGCGGGGGCACUUCUGACGAGUCAGUAAACCUCUUUAACCACUUUAAAGUGGAUCCAAGGUGAAGUGUGGGCAGGGGAGGCGACACCCAGUCUCCAGGCCUCCACAGCCGCGGCCCCUACCCGCUGCCGGCACAGUCCCAGGACACCAUCUGCACAGAACACAAAAGCAGCCACACCCUCUGGCUUAUGCAACCCCAAAGGCCUGGCCAAGGUCCUGAGUGGCCUUAAUGUGUGUGCCUUGCCCUUGCCAUCUCCUUUCCUCUGGCUUCAUACAAGGAGAGUGGAUCCCGGGGAUCAGGACCAGCCCAUACCUGCUCUCCUUCUUGUUCUAGGACCUUGUAAGCAUAAGGUCUUGGCACGACCCCAUCUGAAAUCUCUGUUCUCAGGGUGGCCCUGUUCUGUAGCCAGGAUUUGGGGAUAGGUGUCCCAACCUGAAAGGAAGUGGUAGGGAUAGAAGCUGAAUGAUAGGACUGGAGAGAGAGGCCCCUGGGACAGGAAGGAUGGAUGAUGGAUGAGCAGGGAAUGAGAAAUUGUUGAAAAGUAGCCUGCAGGGAGAGGAACAGAAGGACUGCUGGAGUCUGGCUGUGGGACUAGCAAUGUGAAGGUGCCGAUAGAGGGUGUCACGGGGCUGGGAAGGAGCAGUGUCCCCCUGCCAUGAAAGACAAUUAGAAAGUUCAAGGCUCAGAGAGCUGACUCGGUGCAGGUGGGGCUGAGAAGCCAGCUCCUGUGUUCAGCUGGGCUGAGAGGCAGGCACGUGGUGCCUGCUGAGUCCCUGCCACAGCCACCUUGCCUGCCAGGGUUUUCUGCACUGCAUGUGCUGUAAAAUGCGUCCCAAGCACAGCACCUGAGGGGGACAAAUGGUCCCUACUCAGUUGUCCCAGUUUCCUCAUCCAUGCAGUGGGGCAGUCACUUCCAGGGUUGCUGGGAGUCAGAGAUGGGUCGGGGGUGUGGAGGGUCUGUCCAGGGUCAGGGAGUGGCACACAGGCUUUCUCCCUGGGACAUCCUGCAGACCCAGUAGAUAACCUCAUGGAGGUUACACUCAGAUGCCUGUGGCAUUUGAAAAUGAGGGUGCAGUGUGGGCUGGUGGUUGCACAUUCAGUCCCCAGGCAUCCCUUUCAUCACUGAGAGGCAGAACAGCAUAGGGGCCGUGAGCACAGACUUCGGAGCCAUGUCUGGAUCCAAACCUUGGUUCUGCCACUUACCAACUGUGAACCUCUGGAUCUCAAUUUCCUCAUCUACGAAGGGCGUAAUAAGUGACAAGAUAUACCAUUAGCAAAUAGCAUACCUGCUGUUUUCUUAUCCUGCAUCAGUGGCAGACAUUGCUAAUCAAUCAAGAUAUCUGCUUUCUUCUUUGGCCCCAUGGAAAACAGUGUGAAUUGAUCAAGAUAUUCUUUCUCUCUGAGCCUCAGAAGCUUUCUGUGUGUCUAGAGCUCCAGGCAGCCAUUCCCAAUAGAUAAUAUUUGGCAUUUGAGAGGAAAUCAUUUUGCCAUCUUUGUUAUGGUGCCUACAGAGCACAACACCUGGCACAAAACUGAUUGUGUAUAAAUGUCAGUUACCAUUCAGUCUCUGCGCAGCGCAGGAAUCCUUAUCCAUUAUCCCCCACUUCUGCUGACUCACCUCCAGUGACAGGGAGCUCACUACUUCCUCAAGCUGGCCAUUCUGCUGCUGCACAGUUUUGAUGAUUAGGAAGUUCUCAAAUCUCCCUCCCUGUAUUUCCCUUAUCCCUCAGUCUAUAAUUCUAUGCAAAGUACUCCCUUCUCUCCUGGGUUAGCUGCCAUUACGGACUGAAGUGAUUUAUUUUUAGGUGAUAAAUUUGAACCACUCGAUGGGUAAAACCUUCUCUCAGCUUGCAUGUAUUUGAUCCCAGACUAGCUAAGCAGCUUCGGCAUUUGAUGGACAUGUUGGGGGGAGUAUGUGAGCAUGGAUGUGUACACACGGAUGUGGGAUGUGUCUGUGCUAGAAUGUGUGGGCAAGGGACAGAGAGGAGAGAGAGAGUAAGAGUGUAUUCUAAAGGCUUAUAAUACACCAGGCAAUGUCACUCCUUAUGUAAGCCUAAUAGCAUCUCUGAGGAUUGGGGCUGCAUUCAGGGCCCCGUCAUUAGCUGAUUAAGGCUGAUUAUUUCAAGGGGAGGGACAGUAGAGAGGGACAUAAAGUUACAUAACCCUCCAUUUGUUUGGAUUUAAUCCACACUUCUAAAUUUAGGAGCUGGAAGACUGCAAAGAUGAGCCCCUGGCAUUUGGAGGUGGCACUGGCCACACGGGGAUCGUGGGGCUGCUGAGCGCCGGAGCCCCAUGGUGCCCACAGUGGAGGGGCAUGGAAGAUCACCACAGACAUCCAGGUUGUGCGCUGUCCAAGGCCACCAUAGCAAGGUGGCCAAGGGAGCACCUCACAGCGAGGGUAGCACAGAUUCGCAUGUGUGAGGAUCAUUUUUUCAAGAUGGCCUCAUAGGAGGCUCUAACAGAAUUGUUAUUACAACACUUUUCUGGAAGCUGGAAGUCAAGUGUCUUGAGCAAAGGACAUCUUUUCCUGAUUUUCCCAAAGAGGCUUUACAGGCCAGCAUCACCUUCCUCCAGUUUCCACAGGUGCCAGCUGCACCCAGCGCUGAGUGUCAGUCACAGUGGUCCUGUUCAGGGAGGAGCUGCUGAAAACUGAGGAUAAAGAGCAGCUCCCGAGCUGUGACUAGUCUACGCAAGGUCUCAGAAACAUUUCCCAGGCCACUGCAGGGAGGUGGUAACACUCGGUAAUAGCACAUGCGAUAAAGUGCAGAUAAAAAGCACUUCAUUAACUGUAAAGAAUCCACACCCAUUUUAGGAAGUGCUAUGAAGUUGUGUCACAGGAGAACAGGAGCCAGAUUUGGCCUCCACCACUUUCUAGCUCUGCAACCUGGGAUGAAUCACUUCACCUUUCCGGGCUUCCGCUGAUCAGCUGUUGCAUGGAAAGCAGGUGGCCUGCUGCCAUGCAAGAAUCAAACGGGAAGAUGGCUGCGAAAGGCCCUGCCCCGGAGCCUGGCUCAGGCUGGAGCGGGUGCUCUAUAAAUGCUUGGUUUCUCUCCCAACACUACUUUAACAAGUGUCCAGGCCACUGGAACACUAGAAUGUGGGAAUUUCUUUGAAAUCCUAUGUACUUAGGAAAAAAAUUCAUGUCCAAUAUCCUGGCUAAAAAUACCCUUUAUGUCUGAGUCCUUGCCCACCAGUCUGAGCCUGUCUCCUACCACACUCCCCAAGCUCACUCCAAUCCUUGCUGUUCCUGAACAACGGGCCAGGCCUGUGGCCACCGCGGGACCAUUGCCCUUGCUGUUCCUCUCCCUGGAAUGGGCUCCCCUCACCUUUCUAUGCCUGGCUCCUUCUCACUGGUCAGGUCUCAGCACAAAUGUCACUUCCUCAUUGUAGUCUCUGGCACUUCAUACCACCUCACCCUGUCUUAAUUUUCUACAUUGUCCUUCAUUGCUUUCUUGUGUUUUAUCUCUUUGCUCACUUGUGUACUUCCUAUCUUCACCACCAAACCUAAGCUGCACGAGAGCAGAGAUUUUUUGUCUUGCUCACCACUGUACCCCAAAGCCCAGGUGUCUAAUAAAUGUUUGUUGAUGAAUGAACAAUGUUCAUUAGGAGAAUGAAUGGCAAGGUCAUCUCCUUCCAAGCUCACCAAGUCCCUCUGUCUACCUCUCCCUGCCUUGUUCCUUGCUCCUUCUUCCUGCCUGUUCCUGGGAUGACUUCUCUUUUUGUCCGCAUUUCUCUCUUUUAUUAAAUGACUUCCUAGCCUCUUUCUGGAUUCUCUUGCUGGAGUGGAGAGCUUAAAACAUCUUGCUCUUUCUGCUUGCAAGGUUAGUGGGAUUUUCUCAUCUUUCAGAAUCUGCUUGUCAUCUUGGGUCUUCUCCCCUUUGAUGAGGGUGAGGGGAGAGGGCACAGGGAGCCAAUGUGGGAGACACUGGCGGGCGAGAGGAGGUGCAGGGAGUGAAGAGCCCGCUGCCUCCAGAGGGGCUGAAGUCCUCAUCCCUGAGGCCCCGAGUGGAGGCUGAGUAACUACUUCUUCUAGAUGUUCCCAGCUCCACCCUCUGGGAAGAUCCUCAGUCCCAGAUGCUGCUACAGACAAGUUUACUUCUCUUUUUAUAACCAGGCUUUUACAAAUCUGCUAUGCAACUGCUUCAGUGAAUUGGUUUGGCUUAUGCCAACUGUUAAGUGGGCUAAAGAAUUUGAAUGGCAUUAACUUUACCGUUUACAAGUCUCUUGCAAGUCAUGCAAGUCAGCAAAUGUUUAAUAAGUACCUACUAUGUAUCAGAAAUGGUUCUAAGUUCUUUUCAUAUAAUAAUUUAUUCACCAGGCAGGCAGUACUAUUAUCAUUACCCCAUUUUACAGAUAAGGAAGCUGUGACCCAGAGUUAAAUUUUCUGCAGAUCUCAGUGUCUUAGCUGAUUUGGGCUACUGUAACAAAAUACCAUGCACUGAGUGGCUUAUAAAUAACUGGAACUUAUUGCUCUCAGUUCUGGAGGCUGAAGUUCAAGAUCAGGAUACUGACAUGGUCAUGUGAAGGUCAUGUGAAGAGACUAGGGAGCUCUCUGGAGCGUCUUUUAUAAGAGCACUUAUCCUAUUCAUGACCUAAUCACCUCCCAAAGGUCCUACCUCCUAAUAACCAUCAUUUUUGGGGACGAGGAUUCAACAUAUGAAUUCGGGCGGGAUGGUGGGGGACACACACAUUCAGACCAUAGCACUCAGAAAACAAGGUCUUAGGAUUUCUUCUGUGCACAGCCUCCUUCCUUAUAGCCAGGUGGAGCCCAGCCUGUCCAUCUGUCAUGUGUGCAAAAUUCUCAAAAGCAAUAUAUUUGACCCGCAAGCAACUAAGAGGAUCCAGUUUAGGGGAAGUUAAGUUGUGGACACAUUCAGUUUCAGUUUACUGAUAUAAAUGCAUGUGGUUCUAAGUCAGCCACCUUGGUGUAGAAGACGGCUUCCCUAUAGCUCACUGGGCCCACUCACCGGACUGUGAUUCAGAGAUGCUGCUUCAGAGUUCGUCUCACUGUAUGAGUGCACUUUAUGUCACCCAGCACAGAAAGUGUGCAGAUUGCAAAGGAACAUGAGGCCUGAAACGUAAGGAGCCAGAAGCUAUUUUGCAGAAAGUUCUUCCUGCCUAUCGGACACAUGAAAUUGUAAAUGGGGGAUUUGCUUCUUGUCACUGUCAUCUACCCCUAGUCCAAACCGAGUUCUGUUCAGUGGGAGUAGACUGAAUCAUGCAGAAUACACCAUAAAAAUACAACACAUUUUCUUUCUUUUGGGGGGAAGAUCAUGUAAAACACAAGAUCAGAUUUCUAUGUUUGUAGGGCACAAACUUAUACCUGUACUAAAAACAACAAAAGUCUCCACAAGAUCAUAUAGGAAAACUCAACAAUGGUGCUGAAAUGUGUGUGUUUAUAUAAAACAUUUCCAAGUACAUCUUGUGAAACUGAAACCUUCCUGAACAAUCUGUAGUAGUAAAAGCUUUAUUCAACAGGCCAUGCUAAAGGGAAAACAAUUGUCUUUCAAUUACCUAUAAACAAAAUGAGAGAAUCGUCAUCAUACAAAGGUGAUCAGUGAAGUGUUGGAGGAAGGGAUUAUAAAGGAAUGUCAGACAGUUGAUUAAUAAAAAAAAAUACUGUGUUGUUUUUCUGCUU